GCUUGCUGGGGGGAUUAGUGGCGAACGGGUGAGUAACACGUGAGUAACCUGCCCUUAACUCUGGGAUAAGCCUUGGAAACGGGGUCUAAUACCGGAUAUUCACUUCUUCACCGCAUGGUGGGUGGUGGAAAGAUUUAUUGGUUUUGGAUGGACUCGCGGCCUAUCAGCUUGUUGGUGAGGUAAUGGCUUACCAAGGCGACGACGGGUAGCCGGCCUGAGAGGGUGACCGGCCACACUGGGACUGAGACACGGCCCAGACUCCUACGGGAGGCAGCAGUGGGGAAUAUUGCACAAUGGGCGCAAGCCUGAUGCAGCGACGCCGCGUGAGGGAUGAAUGCCUUCGGGUUGUAAACCUCUUUCAGUAGGGAAGAAGCGUAAGUGACGGUACCUGCAGAAGAAGCGCCGGCUAACUACGUGCCAGCAGCCGCGGUAAUACGUAGGGCGCAAGCGUUAUCCGGAAUUAUUGGGCGUAAAGAGCUCGUAGGCGGUUUGUCGCGUCUGCCGUGAAAGUCCGGGGCUCAACUCCGGAUCUGCGGUGGGUACGGGCAGACUAGAGUGCAGUAGGGGAGACUGGAAUUCCUGGUGUAGCGGUGAAAUGCGCAGAUAUCAGGAGGAACACCGAUGGCGAAGGCAGGUCUCUGGGCUGUAACUGACGCUGAGGAGCGAAAGCAUGGGGAGCGAACAGGAUUAGAUACCCUGGUAGUCCAUGCCGUAAACGUUGGGCACUAGGUGUGGGGGACAUUCCACGUUUUCCGCGCCGUAGCUAACGCAUUAAGUGCCCCGCCUGGGG
rnacentral:rRNA from 1 species